rnacentral:rRNA from 1 species
UAAGCAAGGCAUGAAAGCGUACGGCUCAACCGUAUAUACAUGUUUUGAACUGCUUAGCUAGAGCAUGAGAGAGGUAGAUGGAAUUCCCAGUGUAGGAGUGAAAUCCGUAGAUAUUGGGAGGAACACCGAUGGCGUAGGCAGUCUACUGGCUCACUGCUGACACUAAGGCACGAAAGCGUGGGAGCGACCGGGAUUAGAUACCCCGUAGUCCACGCCGUAAACGAUGGAUGCUA